UUCAAAGCUUUCCACCGCCUACUUUCAUAUUCAUCUUCUUCCUUCUUGUUUGGAAGGAACUUGAUAUGAUCAAAGAUAUUGAUGGAAAUAGAGAAACAUUGAAACUAACCAUCAGAAUUAUCGAUCUCUGGGUUAUGGGAAACAAGGAUUCUUCUGGAUCAAAAGGACACAUAAAGAUGAUUCAUAUGGAUCAAAAGGGCUAUGUUAUACCUACAAUGACUAAGAAAGAAGAUAUUGAAAUAUGGUAAGACAAGCUCACGGAGGGGACCACUUAUAAAAUGCAUAAUUUCAAGAUCUUGAAGAACAAAUCUCAAUUUAUAGUUUGUGAUCACCCGUUUAAGUUAUUGUUCAUUGGAGUCACCUCUGUACGACCUUAACCCAUUGCAAAUGU